rnacentral:rRNA from 1 species
UUAAGCGACUAAGCGUACACGGUGGAUGCCCUGGCAGUCAGAGGCGAUGAAGGACGUGCUAAUCUGCGAUAAGCGUCGGUAAGGUGAUAUGAACCGUUAUAACCGGCGAUUUCCGAAUGGGGAAACCCAGUGUGUUUCGACACACUAUCAUUAACUGAAUCCAUAGGUUAAUGAGGCGAACCGGGGGAACUGAAACAUCUAAGUACCCCGAGGAAAAGAAAUCAACCGAGAUUCCCCCAGUAGCGGCGAGCGAACGGGGAGGAGCCCAGAGCCUGAAUCAGUGUGUGUGUUAGUGGAAGCGUCUGGAAAGGCGCGCGAUACAGGGUGACAGCCCCGUACACAAAAAUGCACAUGCUGUGAGCUCGAUGAGUAGGGCGGGACACGUGGUAUCCUGUCUGAAUAUGGGGGGACCAUCCUCCAAGGCUAAAUACUCCUGACUGACCGAUAGUGAACCAGUACCGUGAGGGAAAGGCGAAAAGAACCCCGGCGAGGGGAGUGAAAAAGAACCUGAAACCGUGUACGUACAAGCAGUGGGAGCACGCUUCGGCGUGUGACUGCGUACCUUUUGUAUAAUGGGUCAGCGACUUAUAUUCUGUAGCAAGGUUAACCGAAUAGGGGAGCCGAAGGGAAACCGAGUCUUAACUGGGCGUUAAGUUGCAGGGUAUAGACCCGAAACCCGGUGAUCUAGCCAUGGGCAGGUUGAAGGUUGGGUAACACUAACUGGAGGACCGAACCGACUAAUGUUGAAAAAUUAGCGGAUGACUUGUGGCUGGGGGUGAAAGGCCAAUCAAACCGGGAGAUAGCUGGUUCUCCCCGAAAGCUAUUUAGGUAGCGCCUCGUGAAUUCAUCUCCGGGGGUAGAGCACUGUUUCGGCAAGGGGGUCAUCCCGACUUACCAACCCGAUGCAAACUGCGAAUACCGGAGAAUGUUAUCACGGGAGACACACGGCGGGUGCUAACGUCCGUCGUGAAGAGGGAAACAACCCAGACCGCCAGCUAAGGUCCCAAAGUCAUGGUUAAGUGGGAAACGAUGUGGGAAGGCCCAGACAGCCAGGAUGUUGGCUUAGAAGCAGCCAUCAUUUAAAGAAAGCGUAAUAGCUCACUGGUCGAGUCGGCCUGCGCGGAAGAUGUAACGGGGCUAAACCAUGCACCGAAGCUGCGGCAGCGACACUGUGUGUUGUUGGGUAGGGGAGCGUUCUGUAAGCCUGUGAAGGUGUACUGUGAGGUAUGCUGGAGGUAUCAGAAGUGCGAAUGCUGACAUAAGUAACGAUAAAGCGGGUGAAAAGCCCGCUCGCCGGAAGACCAAGGGUUCCUGUCCAACGUUAAUCGGGGCAGGGUGAGUCGACCCCUAAGGCGAGGCCGAAAGGCGUAGUCGAUGGGAAACAGGUUAAUAUUCCUGUACUUGGUGUUACUGCGAAGGGGGGACGGAGAAGGCUAUGUUGGCCGGGCGACGGUUGUCCCGGUUUAAGCGUGUAGGCUGGUUUUCCAGGCAAAUCCGGAAAAUCAAGGCUGAGGCGUGAUGACGAGGCACUACGGUGCUGAAGCAACAAAUGCCCUGCUUCCAGGAAAAGCCUCUAAGCAUCAGGUAACAUCAAAUCGUACCCCAAACCGACACAGGUGGUCAGGUAGAGAAUACCAAGGCGCUUGAGAGAACUCGGGUGAAGGAACUAGGCAAAAUGGUGCCGUAACUUCGGGAGAAGGCACGCUGAUAUGUAGGUGAGGUCCCUCGCGGAUGGAGCUGAAAUCAGUCGAAGAUACCAGCUGGCUGCAACUGUUUAUUAAAAACACAGCACUGUGCAAACACGAAAGUGGACGUAUACGGUGUGACGCCUGCCCGGUGCCGGAAGGUUAAUUGAUGGGGUUAGCCGCAAGGCGAAGCUCUUGAUCGAAGCCCCGGUAAACGGCGGCCGUAACUAUAACGGUCCUAAGGUAGCGAAAUUCCUUGUCGGGUAAGUUCCGACCUGCACGAAUGGCGUAAUGAUGGCCAGGCUGUCUCCACCCGAGACUCAGUGAAAUUGAACUCGCUGUGAAGAUGCAGUGUACCCGCGGCAAGACGGAAAGACCCCGUGAACCUUUACUAUAGCUUGACACUGAACAUUGAGCCUUGAUGUGUAGGAUAGGUGGGAGGCUUUGAAGUGUGGACGCCAGUCUGCAUGGAGCCGACCUUGAAAUACCACCCUUUAAUGUUUGAUGUUCUAACGUUGACCCGUAAUCCGGGUUGCGGACAGUGUCUGGUGGGUAGUUUGACUGGGGCGGUCUCCUCCUAAAGAGUAACGGAGGAGCACGAAGGUUGGCUAAUCCUGGUCGGACAUCAGGAGGUUAGUGCAAUGGCAUAAGCCAGCUUGACUGCGAGCGUGACGGCGCGAGCAGGUGCGAAAGCAGGUCAUAGUGAUCCGGUGGUUCUGAAUGGAAGGGCCAUCGCUCAACGGAUAAAAGGUACUCCGGGGAUAACAGGCUGAUACCGCCCAAGAGUUCAUAUCGACGGCGGUGUUUGGCACCUCGAUGUCGGCUCAUCACAUCCUGGGGCUGAAGUAGGUCCCAAGGGUAUGGCUGUUCGCCAUUUAAAGUGGUACGCGAGCUGGGUUUAGAACGUCGUGAGACAGUUCGGUCCCUAUCUGCCGUGGGCGCUGGAGAACUGAGGGGGGCUGCUCCUAGUACGAGAGGACCGGAGUGGACGCAUCACUGGUGUUCGGGUUGUCAUGCCAAUGGCACUGCCCGGUAGCUAAAUGCGGAAGAGAUAAGUGCUGAAAGCAUCUAAGCACGAAACUUGCCCCGAGAUGAGUUCUCCCUGACCCUUUAAGGGUCCUGAAGGAACGUUGAAGACGACGACGUUGAUAGGCCGGGUGUGUAAGCGCAGCGAUGCGUUGAGCUAACCGGUACUAAUGAACCGUGAGGCUUAACCUU